UAUUUAUGAUGAUUUGCCAUGCUAAUACUGAGAAAGUUCCAGACUUUUACUGAGUUGAAUAUAUGUUUUCUGAAGCUAUGAAUAU